CCUACGGGAGGCAGCAGUGAGGAAUAUUGGUCAAUGGACGAGAGUCUGAACCAGCCAAGUAUCGUGAAGGAUGACUGCCCUAUGGGUUGUAAACUUCUUUUAUAUGGGAAUAAAACGUUCCACGUGUGGGAUUUUGUAUGUACCAUAUGAAUAAGGAUCGGCUAACUCCGUGCCAGCAGCCGCGGUAAUACGGAGGAUCCGAGCGUUAUCCGGAUUUAUUGGGUUUAAAGGGAGCGUAGGUGGAUUGUUAAGUCAGUUGUGAAAGUUUGCGGCUCAACCGUAAAAUUGCAGUUGAAACUGGCAGUCUUGAGUACAGUAGAGGUGGGCGGAAUUCGUGGUGUAGCGGUGAAAUGCUUAGAUAUCACGAAGAACUCCGAUUGCGAAGGCAGUUCACUGGACUGCAACUGACACUGAGGCUCGAAAGUGUGGGUAUCAAACAGGAUUAGAUACCCGAGUAGUC
rnacentral:rRNA from 1 species